rnacentral:rRNA from 1 species
GCUGGCGGCAGGCCUAACACAUGCAAGUCGAGCGGUAACAGUUUCUAGCUUGCUAGAAGAUGGCGAGCGGCGGACGGGUGAGUAACGCGUAGAAAUCUACCUAGUAGUGGGGGAUAGCCCAGAGAAAUUUGGAUUAAUACCGCAUACGCCCUACGGGGGAAAGCGGGGGAUCUUCGGACCUCGUGCUAUUAGAUGAGUCUGCGUCGGAUUAGCUUGUUGGUGAGGUAAUGGCUCACCAAGGCGACGAUCCGUAGCUGGUCUGAGAGGAUGACCAGCCACACUGGAACUGAGACACGGUCCAGACUCCUACGGGAGGCAGCAGUGGGGAAUAUUGCACAAUGGGCGCAAGCCUGAUGCAGCCAUGCCGCGUGUGUGAAGAGGGCCUUAGGGUUGUAAAGCACUUUCAGCAGUGAGGAAAGGGGUGUCGUUAAUAGCGCCAUCCUGUGACGUUAACUGCAGAAGAAGGACCGGCUAACUCCGUG